rnacentral:rRNA from 1 species
AGUGAACGCUGGCGGCAUGCCUAACACAUGCAAGUCGAACGGCAGCACAGUAAGAGCUUGCUCUUACGGGUGGCGAGUGGCGGACGGGUGAGGAAUACACCGGAAUCUACUUUUUCGUGGGGGAUAACGUAGGCAAAUUUACGCUAAUACCGCAUACGACCUAAGGGUGAAAGCAGGGGAUCUUCGGACCUUUCGCGAUUGAAUGAGCCGAUGUCGGAUUAGCUAGUUGGCGGGGUAAAGGCCCACCAAGGCGACGAUCCGUAGCUGGUCUGAGAGGAUGAUCAGCCACACUGGAACUGAGACACGGUCCAGACUCCUACGGGAGGCAGCAGUGGGGAAUAUUGGACAAUGGGCGCAAGCCUGAUCCAGCCAUGCCGCGUGGGUGAAGAAGGCCUUCGGGUUGUAAAGCCCUUUUGUUGGGAAAGAAAAGCAUCAGGUUAAUACGCCGCUGUUAUGACGGUACCCGAAGAAUAAGCACCGGCUAACUUCGUG